AAGUAAGCUCAGGGCCAUUCAUCGGAGACAGACCAUGUUCAACGCCCUCUCACCGCUUCAAACCGCCAGCGCCCCGAGCUCGGUUGCGGCUGCCUGGGCGAACAGCGUGCAAACUCCGGUCAGCUUUUAUUUUGGGUAUUGGUUUAGCCACUGGCGCGCCUGAUACCCAACCGGCGCCCAUUUUAAACGGGUCGCCUUCCAGAGUUUUCCAAACCCCCGGUCGGCCUCCCGACCGGGGG
rnacentral:sRNA from 1 species